CAGUAGCCGCGGGAAUACGAAGGGGGCUAGCGUUGCUCGGAAUCACUGGGCGUAAAGGGUGCGUAGGCGGGUCUUUAAGUCAGGGGUGAAAUCCUGGAGCUCAACUCCAGAACUGCCUUUGAUACUGAAGAUCUUGAGUUCGGGAGAGGUGAGUGGAACUGCGAGUGUAGAGGUGAAAUUCGUAGAUAUUCGCAAGAACACCAGUGGCGAAGGCGGCUCACUGGCCCGAUACUGACGCUGAGGCACGAAAGCGUGGGGAGCAAACAGGAUUAGAUACCCCAGUAGUCCCUGUCUCUUAUAC
rnacentral:rRNA from 1 species